ACUGGCAGCUCAAGUGGUGGCCAUUUUUAUUGGGCCUAAAGCGUUCGUAGCCGGUUUGAUAAGUCUCUGGUGAAAUCCCGCAGCUUAACUGUGGGACUUGCUGGAGAUACUAUGAUACUUGAGGUCGGGAGAGGUUAGGGGUACUCCCAGGGUAGGGGUGAAAUCCUAUAAUCCUGGGAGGACCACCUAUGGCGAAGGCGCCUAACCGGACCGAAAUUGACGCUGAGUAACGAAAGUGUGGGGAGCAAACCG
rnacentral:rRNA from 1 species